UACGUAGGGGGCAAGCGUUGUCCGGAAUCAUUGGGCGUAAAGAGCGCGUAGGCGGCCCGAUAAGUCCGCUGUGAAAGUCAAGGGCUCAACCCUUGAAUGCCGGUGGAUACUGUCGGGCUAGAGUCCGGAAGAGGCGAGUGGAAUUCCUGGUGUAGCGGUGAAAUGCGCAGAUAUCAGGAAGAACACCGAUGGCGAAGGCAGGUCUCUGGGCCACUACUGACGCUGAGACGCGAAAGCGUGGGGAGCAAACAGG
rnacentral:rRNA from 1 species